ensembl:lncRNA
UAUAUAUUGAAACGCAGUUUAUAAUAAACUCAGAGUGGCCAUCAGCCCUCUCCGCAUCUAUCCUGGUGUGUACACUGGAUCGCGACAUCGACACAUGUGCAAGAUUUGCCUUUCAGAUCAUGCUCAAACUGAGCUGAAAAGGUCUCUGUGGCUUAGUAGAUGGAAUACAAGAAAAGGAAUGUUCCUGUACCAAUGCUUGCAAACAGGAAGGAGAACUAGGAGGGGACCAUCAGUUCUGAGAAAAUCUGGGGAGCUAGAAAUGGAUGAUACUGGAUAGACUGUCAGUGUGAAAGGGAGCAGCCUCAACCCAGCGUUCCACAGAUUAAGAAUGCUUCUUUUCGGUCAGCUGCUCUGAACGUUUCAAGUCCUGAAAUCAACAAAAAGUCGUAGUGGGCUGUAGGAUAGCUUUCACGGCCAUUAACAAAUGACUUCACUGUAAUGAUCAUACCCACUCUAAUAUAUGGACCAAAGUGACAGGUGACCCACAUUUCCUUCAGGCUAAACUCUGUGAACUGCAUUUGAGAGACAUGUUUCCUGACCCCAAAGAGAAACAGUAAUUUGAGGUACUUCCAGACAGGAAUAGCAAACAGGAGGGGAAAAUGGAAAUAAGUAGAAAUGCUAAUUAGGUUUCCAAGCGCAAAGUAUAUUCAAGUCUUUCUCUUUUAAAAGAAUGUUCUAUUUCAGCAACUUGAAUUAAGAUCUCUAUUCUGACUUGCCUGUUCCUAAAACAAAAGCAAACAGCCUACAGGCCUCACUCAUUCCACAGAGCCCUCUAACAAAAUUUCCACUACACAGAGAAAAUGACGUGAAAACAGCCCAGUGUCAACUCCACAGGACACUUGAAAUUGAGAGCUAUUCCAAUCCUGAAGUCUGUAAGUUUUUUGUAAAGGACAAAAUAGUAAAUAUUUGAAGCUUCGAAGUGUAUAAGGUCUCUGUUGCAACAAUUCAAUUACUGUCAUAUUAGGAAAGCUGCUAUGCAUAUAUCAUAGAUAAUACAUGAAUGAAAUGGUAAGGCUGUGUUAAAAAGAAAAAAAAUCUGUAUUUAUGAAAACAUGUAGCAGGCUGGAUUUGGGCCACAGGCCAUAGUUUACUGACCCCUGUAUUUAUUCGCAAGCAAUGAAUGGAAAUCCAAGGAUUAACAUAUAUUUGAAGAAAAUAGUGUGAAAGAAAAAGACUAAGACGCAACACAACAAUGCAAUUUAUUCAAAGGAAACAAAUAUGUCACGGAAAAGAAGUAAAGUUGUUGGAAAAUCAAAGCAGUACCCUCAGAAAAAUUGCCUACUAAAUAAAAAAAAAUCACAACUAAAGAAUAAGAAAGUGAUGCUGUAAAAUAAGUAUAAAAUGGCAACUUAAAAAAAAGCAAUAGGUAGACUAAAUAUUAAAAUGUAAAUGACUUAAAUUCAACAUAAACAGAAAGAAAAAAAAUACAUGUAAUAAAGGACAGAAAGUUUAAGGGGCAUGAAAAACAGGUACAAGAAGAAUAACAUUUAUCUAAUUCCAGAAAUACAGAAUAGAGAAAUGAGAAAAGAAAAUAAUAAAUGAAACAAAGAAAACUUCCCAGUAUUAACUAAUAGCAGGUCUUUAUAACAGCAUAAUUUAUAAAAUGCCAAACAAGAAAAUUCAUACAUACGCACAUUGUGAUGACGACAAAGAACUCCAAAUAUAAAAAUGAAAGUCCUUGAAGCUUCCAGAGAAAGAGAGAAUAAGAAAAAAUGUGAAGAGAGUAACAUUUUUUUCCUCCAGAAAGAAUAAGAAAUAGAAAGAGAACAAAAAACCUGUCACAAGCAACAAUAUAUACCAGACAACACUGGAGAAGUGCCUUCACUCUUCUUUUUUUUUUAAAGAUUUUAUUUUUUUCCUUUUUCUCCCCAAAGCACCCCGGUACAUAGCUGUAUAUUCUUCCUUGUGGGUCCUUCUAGUUGUGGCAUGUGGGAUGCUGCCUCAGCGUGGUUUGAUGAGCAGUGCCAUGUCCGCGCCCAGGAUUCAAACCAGCGAAACACUGGGCCGCCUGUAGAGGAGCGCACGAACUUAACCACUCGGCCACGGGGCCAGCCCCUGCCUUUGCUAUUCUUGGGGAAACAAUUUUGAGAACUCUCUGCCUGGCACUGUGCAGGACCUCGGGGCUGCGCAACAGGGAAGAAGACAGAUAUGGACAGUCUGUAUUCUCCUGGAGCCUAUAUGACAUUGGAGGAGACAAUGAUCAAGACAAUAAGCAAGAAAAUACAACAUUUGCAAGCUAGUAAUCCAUGUUUACAAUAAAACAAAUAGAGUCCUAGGAUACAAAUAAUUAGAGGGCUGUCUAGGGAGGUUCUAUUUUAGAUUAAGUGUCCAGAAAACUCCUCCCUGAGGAUGCUGAAUGGGAAGAUAAGAAGAAGGCAGCCUUCUGACGAGCUGAUUGAAGUGCAAAACUGAGUCAGGAAGCCUGGGACUGUUCAAUAAAUGGCAAAAAGCCAAUGUGUUUGGAGCACAGUUAGACAGGGAGAAUGGGUCCUAAGUAAGGUUUAAAAGUGGACAAGGUUACAAGGCAUAGAUUGUUGGUUUUGUUUUAAGGUUAAAGUGAAGGCAUCGAAUGACUACAUAAACACUGAAAUCAAAGAAGUAUCAUGAUUAGAUUUUCUUUUACAAAUCUUCACCCUGGUUAGAGAAUGUGUGGAGAAUGGACUAGAGGGCAUAGAAGUGGCAGUAGAGAAGCAGUCAGGAGCCUCCUGUGGUAUCUUGGUGAAAGAUAAUAGGAACUCAGCCCAGGGUGAAUAGCAGUGUGAUAGAUAAUAGUGUACACAUUUAAGAUAUAUUUUAGAGAAAAAUUCUCAGGUCCAGCUGAUAGAUUAAAUAUGAGGGGUUGGGAAAAGGGUAGAUUCAGGGAUGAUUACUAUCUUUCUGGCUGAGGCCACUAGAGAGAAAAAGUUGAUAUUAACUGAUGGAGAACUCUGGCAGAAGAACAUGCUUCCUCAGAAGUGUGUUCAAAAGUUCCAGUGUCACAAGGUUAAUAGUUGAGAUGCCUAAACAAUAUCCAAGUGCAGAUGUUCAGUAGGAAAUGAAAAAUUUUAAUAUGGAGAUCAGAUGAAUGGUCUGAAUUGGCAUCAUACAGUUGGGUUUCUUAGCAUGUGAAUGACAUUUUAAAGCACUGGAAUGAAUGAGGUACGGCUAAGAGAGAAUGUAGAUAAGAAAGGGAAGGGGACUCAGAUGCUACCACGUGGAGUUUAGUUUGGGGAAGAGGAGUCAACAAAGGAAACUAAGACAGGGGAAUCAGAGAAGGGAAGGACAGGAAUCAUGUCAGGUUGUGCUACAAUAACGACUGGUCUCAGAAUAUUAGUGCCUGAUAAAUCGAAGCAUUAUUUCUCACAUGACCUUUUCAAGUUGGCUCAAGGAUUACUCUAAAAGCAACCCUGACAGAACAGGCACCAUUUUAAAUAUCGCCUAUCUUUAUGGCAGAAGGAAAGAGAGUGUGAAGGGCUUUCAAGGGGAAAUUACAUGUUUGGGUCCAACAAUGAUAGAUGUCACUUCAACUCAAAUCUCACCAGCCAGACCUGGUUGCUUGGCCCCAAAUAGUCCAUAGAAGUCAGGAAGAACUAGCUUACCAUGUGCUGAAAUAUUUAGUGAACUGUAUCAAUAUUUAUAAGAGUCUGCUUUUCUGAUGACUCAUUCUUUCUAAAAUAAACCAUCAAUCCAAAGCCACAACCAAUCACAGCAUCAAGCUCAAAGUGCAGAUUUCUGGGUGUUGGAUGUCAGUUGUUAGGCUGCAUUAGCUGCAGAUGUAGAUCCUCCUCAUGUAGAGCUUGGUGGACCAAACACUCCCACUGGGCAGUGGUGGAAUACAGAGUAGAUAAUCUCACUAAAAAUGACAAUCUAUGGUUGGAAUGAAAGCCAUAGCAAUUCCUCUGCAGAUUUUGUGAUGGCUUUCCUUCCACUGGGAAGGAAAUCUUCCUGCCUGGGGUCUCUUCCUGCUCCCUGGGAGGGACUUCCCACUCCAAAGUUCCUCAAGGGCCUUGCCUUCCCAUUAUGGAAGGCUCUUCCUUCAUCAUCCUCUUUGGAUGCACCUGAAUGUAGCAUUGGGUAAUAUAUUCCCCUUGCAGGAAGAACAGACUCUUCCGUCUGCUUCUAACUCAUAGUAAUACGUGGGUCCAAGCAUUGUUUUAAGUCUUGAACAGUCACACACUUUUAAGUCUAGACUCGUAGUCUUUUUGACAGUACAACUGUCUCACAGACUUAACUUGUUUCUUAUCUAUUUUAUUUCAUUGAAAUCUAUGAACCAAUUUAUGUAAGACAUGCCCCACUUUUUCCAAUGGACCCAGGUAUUUUGAAUCUAUCAGGCUCCUUGGGGAGGGUCAAACCUUUAGUCUCUUUUUCUUGAGUAAUUUUGUUCAAAAAUGAUUUACAAGGACCAAUUUAGCCCUCAUUACACUAGGAAAAGCAGGCAUACCACUUGCCAUUGGGUUUAGUGGACAUUUUUAUAUUUUUACAUUUUUAAAAUAUCUUAAAAUUAUUUUACAAAUAAUUUACAGAAUUAAGAGUAAAGGGAUAGUGAAAAUAACUUUAUUAAAAAUUUUAAUAAGAAUUUAAACAUAGUAAACUCAUAUUUUUAUUCCAUAUUUACUGGUGGUGAACAUAUGUAUAACUGAAAUAGGCAAUCCCUUUGAAUGCAACUCACUGCUCCUCCAUUCGCAUAAAUGAACCUGUAGCUCAUCAAUCUUAUAAAUACUGAUUCCUGAUUUCAGGUAUUCAAAUAGAUCCUAGCUUACCAUUAAUUUUGGUUCUUCUUCAUGCUCUUAAUUAAUCAAAAUGCAAUGCUUUUGAUACUUUGAAAGUUCAUAAUUUUGUUCUAGAGAGAUUGUACAUCUUUUUUGGUUUAUAAUUGAAAAAUAUUUUCACUUUUAGGUUUAUAAAUGCCAUGUGAAAAGAUCAAUGCCUGUACUUUUAAAUUUAUAAAUAGUCAAUUUUUUUUUCCAAUCAACUUUUUAUACACAUCUGCUGUUUCAGUAAAGGUUUGACCAAAGAAAGAGAACCAGUGGGAGAUUCUGUAUAUGAGAGAGAGAGAUUUAUUGCAAGGAAUUGGCUUAUGCAAUUGUAGAAGCUGGCUUAGCAAGGCCAAAAUUUGUAAAGCCAGCCAUCAGGAAGGGCAGGCUGCAAAUGCAACUCCAGCUGGAGCUGAUGCUGUGGGAAUUUCUUCCUCUAGAAACCUCAGUUUUGCUCUUAAGGCCGCUCAACUAAUUGGAAGAGGCCAACCCAGAUUUCUGAGGAUAGUCUCUUUUACUUUGAGUCAACUAAUUGUGAAUGUAAAUCACACCUACAAAAUACCUUGCAGUAGUACCUAGAUUAGUGUUUGAUUGAAUAACUGCCUAGGCAAAUCAACACAUAAAAUGAACCAUCAUACUUGUUUUCAGCAUUUGUUCACUUAUGAAUCUUAAGUAAAUUUUGAUUCAUGAGCACCAUAAACAUCAAAGAAUACACUCACAGAUGAUAGUACAGAUUUGUGUCAGAAAGCAUCAUGUGAUAAAAUUAUUCCUGUUGAAUAACUAACUGGAUGAAGAUGUCAUAUAUCUCUUUCAUUUUUAUAAAUAUAUCAUUCACUCAUUGCUUCUUGAGUUUGAGAAAAUCCAUCUGGGAUAUUUUCAUCUGUUGACAUAUAGUAUGAGAUUUUACUUAUAUGAUUGAUCUUAUCAUCAUUAUUAAUAUCUGAAUUGCUGCUAUCUGUCUCUGUUCAGUCACAUUUUGAUUCAUAUUGUAACUGGGAAUAUCAUUCUCUGCCAUUUUGGUAUAAAGUUUUCUAAAAAUAGGAAUUUUCAGAUGUGUCCAAUGAAUGCUGUUAAAACAAGCCUACAAAGAUCAUGUUUCUAGACUUAUUUUAUAACUUCUUAAAAGAUGAUGAUGCAUUUUGUACAACCCAAUUAAAACACUGAAGGAUGAGGUAGUAUUGAUAAUUUAUUUUACCAUUGCAUCAUUCUAGGUGAUUCAGUUUUAUUUUUAAUUUUUUUGAAUAGUUGGUAAUAAUUCAUGAAUAAUGAUAAAAUAAUUUCUAGGAUGACGCAAAGCAAAAUAUCACUAAGAUCCUAUAAUUUACCUUAGAUUUAUAAAAGUGUCCAACGGACCCAUACUGAGGAUAAUUUCCUCUACUUAAAGUCAACUAAUUAUAGAUGUCAAUUACAUCUACAAAAUACUUUCAUGGUUCUUUUCUUUGAAACAUGAAAUGUUACAUUUUAUGUUAAAUAUAAAGAGAUUUUUUUGUCUUUUAGAAGAUCAUUAAAAAAGAAUAAAAGUCAUGAAAUAGCAAUUGUUACAAAGAGUUAAACCACUCAAAGAAGAAACUCAAAAUCUAAAUUUAAGUUCAAAGUAAGGUGUAGCAAGGGUUAAUCCAUUCAGGGAUUAUAACAAUUGGUGUAAUAUUCAAAUAUUCAAGAUCAAGGUUUGACCUGACCUUGACAUAGAACUGAGGGUUUUUUUUUUAAAUAUUUUUUUAG